AGUGAACGCUGGCGGCGUGCUUAACACAUGCAAGUCGAACGAGAACGGAUUAUAGCUUGCUAUAAUUGUCAGCUAAGUGGCGCACGGGUGAGUAAUGUAUAGGUAAUAUGCCUCUUACUAAGGGAUAACAAUUGGAAACGAUUGCUAAUACCUUAUAUUCCUUUUAUCAAAAGAUAAAAGGGAAAGAUUAUUGGUAAGAGAUUAGCCUGUAUUGUAUCAGUUAGUUGGUGGGGUAAUGGCCUACCAAGACGAUGACGCAUAACUGGUUUGAGAGGAUGAUCAGUCACACUGGAACUGAGACACGGUCCAGACUCCUACGGGAGGCAGCAGUGGGGAAUAUUGCACAAUGGACGAAAGUCUGAUGCAGCAACGCCGCGUGGAGGAUGACACAUUUCGGUGCGUAAACUCCUUUUAUAUAAGAAGAUAAUGACGGUAUUAUAUGAAUAAGCACCGGCUAACUCCGUGCCAGCAGCCG
rnacentral:rRNA from 1 species